CACCUUCCUCCCCCGAUCUCCCCGACUCCUCUCGCUGCCUCUCGCCCGCGGAUGAAUCGGCGCCAACGGGAAUGGAGCUUCGACCUCCGGCGAUCCUUCUCUGCCGGCAUCGACAACACAAGCUCAGAUCCGGUCGGUGUUUCUCCUCUCCAGACUGUAAUCGGCCGAGGAGUUGCUGUUCGGUGGAUCUUGCGGCCGAUCACCGAAGGGGCUGCGGCUAGGGCACGGUGAAGGACCAGAUCUCGCGUCGACCCCCAUCCAAUCGUCCACCGAAGCUUGGAGAGGUGCCCUAGUUCGGAUUUGUGCCACUCGAUUCGCCGGCGUGGGUCAGGUCAUGGAUCGUUUGAGUGGAUCUUGGAUUCCUCUGCCGGAGCUAGGUCUUGGCAGACGCUGGCUAGUUGAGGGUCAGUAGAUUCAAUACAUUGCAUUAUGGAUUGGAUUAGGUGACAUUUCCUGGAGGCAACCGAUCGAGUACUUGGACUUUCUCUUCUUCACUGUGAUUGAGGUCUCGGUUGAAGUGGAGAAGAAUCCCAGCAGUCAAUAGGUUCUGAUCAGUGAGGUGUGCUCAAGAUUUCAGCAAGGUUGAGUGCUGUGAACUUUCUUGGGUUCCAACAGCAACUACCCUAACUGACAGCAACAUCUUGGGUGGUGAUCUACUGGUGAUCACCUUGGAUUUGGGUUGAGGCCGUCAGGAGAGAUUCCAGUCGCUAGCCCCUUGGUCGCGAGGAUUUCUAGAUAU